GGACGAGACAGUGGAGGCCACGAGUCAGACUGGGCCUAGCCCUGGGGAAGAAUGUGCAGAGGAAUGCUCAGGGCCUCAGAAUGACCCCUCCGUUCUCUAGACCACAGUUCCCUUCACUAUGGGGCCCAGAGAAAGUGGCCUGAGGCACACAGAGAGCAACCGGAGUAAUAGUCUCGUUGGCCUCCUGUGGCCAGAAACCCUUUCACAACAGAGACCAGCAAAUCCGCAGAAACUGAAACAAAAAUCAUCGGUAGCCACUUAAGCAAGACAGAAGAAAUCAGGCUAUAGGACAAUACGAGAGGAAAAUCCAUAGAAGUUUUAAGAAGGGGGAAAAAAUGCGCCCAGGUUGGUGAGAUGACUCAGCAGGAAACCAAGUUCACCGAAGGUUAGUGGCCCUGCAGAUAGAAACCCUACUGGGUUCAAGUCCCAGCUCCUCCUGUGGUUCGCCACCUGGCUGCCCACCAACCCCUUAGCCUCCCUGGACCACGUUUCUUCUCCUCUAGAAGAGGAAAAGGCAGACCCCUUCUGCUUCUGGACCGUCAACCAGAUGAUAUACAUGAAAGGAUCUGUAGAUUCUUAAUGAUGCCAUGC